rnacentral:rRNA from 1 species
UACGUAGGGUGCGAGCGUUGUCCGGAUUUAUUGGGCGUAAAGGGCUCGUAGGCGGCCUGUCGCGUCGGGAGUGAAAGCCCACUGCUUAACGGUGGGUCUGCUUCCGGUACGGGCGGGCUAGAGUAUGGCAGGGGAGACUGGAAUUCCUGGUGUAGCGGUGGAAUGCGCAGAUAUCAGGAGGAACACCGGUGGCGAAGGCGGGUCUCUGGGCCAUUACUGACGCUGAGGAGCGAAAGCGUGGGGAGCGAACAGGAUUAGAUACCCUGGUAGUCCACGCCGUAAACGUUGGGCGCUAGGUGUGGGGACUGUUUCCACGGUCUCCGUGCCGGAGCUAACGCAUUAAGCGCCCCGCCUGGGGAGUACGGCCGCAAGGCUAAA